GCGAGAGUGGCGGAACGGCAGACGCAUCAGACUUAGGAUCUGACGGGGCAACCCCCGUGAGGGUUCAAAUCCCUCCUCUCGCACCA
rnacentral:tRNA from 1 species